rfam:Cladophialophora immunda strain CBS 83496 unplaced genomic scaffold supercont1.1, whole genome shotgun sequence.
UGGCUGUCAUGGUCAAAAAGUUAGGAGGUUCCCUUGAGCCUGUGGGCGUCGCUUCACACUCCCACUUGUUCAGUCGUGCCUUGCUCGGAAUUUCGGGUCGUUCAUCGUACUCGUGUGUGCAAACCACGAUGCUACGGAACGUUAAGCAAUCGGAAGUGACACUUGAGGGAAGCGAUUCUGCAGAGGCUCUUCCACCCGGAGUUGGCGAUGUGAGAUUACACACUGGCAAGAUAUGCGAAGUCCCAGGCUCGACGUGGGGGACCGACUUUUUUU